UGUUUCAGCUCAGGCACAAUCAAGAGACACCAGGGUUCAUCAAAGGACAUAAAGGGAAGAGAGAGCACCAGAUGAAUCAAGAACAGGGAGGUGAAAAGCCCCUGAUGCUGCAGCCCUCAUCUGGUACCUGGAUUCACACAGGUGAACUCAUGAUAACAGUGACAUCCUGAUGAAGCCGGGGAGGCUCCAUGAAUGCCAAGACUGCACCACUGGUAUCUAAUGACAGGCCUGGAGCCUUGGUGUGCAGGAAUUAGAGGUAACAGGUGCUCCCUACUGCUAUUCCUUCCCAGGUGCCCUGAUGAAUCAGAGGAGAUGGGAGGUGGGCACCCACGGGGAUGAAGAAAGGCCCCACUGCAAGAGGCUAUCUCACUCAGCAGACCAGGAGCUGACUUUUCCUGACAGUUAUCAACCCAGCCCAGGAGCACACAGCUGUUCCAGACACUUGUUGGCUAAAG